rnacentral:rRNA from 1 species
UGAAUACGAGAUGCUACGGCGUCGAAGCAGUCUAUGUCAUACUUCCAAGAAAAGCUUGCACUGUCAUAAACAAAUAAUGCCUGUACCAUAACCGACACAGGUGGGUAGGUAGAGUAUACUAAGGGGCGCGAGAUAACUCUCUCUAAGGAACUCGGCAAAAUGACUCCGUAACUUCGGGAGAAGGAGUGCCUUAUUUAUAAGGUUGCAAUAACAAGAUCCAAGCAACUGUUUACCAAAAACACAGGUCUCCGCUAAGUCGUAAGACGAUGUAUGGGGGCUGACGCCUGCCCAGUGCCAGAAGGUUAAAGAAGUUGGUUAGCAUCCGCGAAGCUGAUAACUGAAGCCCUGGUGAACGGCGGCCGUAACGAUAACGGUCCUAAGGUAGCGAAAUUCCUUGUCGGGUAAGUUCCGACCCGCACGAAAGGCGUAAUGAUUUGGAUACUGUCUCGGAGAGGGGCUCGGUGAAAUAGACUUGUCUGUGAAGAUGCGGACUACCUGCACCAGGACAGAAAGACCCUAUGAAGCUUUACUGUAACCUGAAAUUGAAAUUGGACUUUACUUGCGCAGUAUAGGUGGGAGGCGUUGAAAUAUUCUUGCGGGAUUAUUGGAGCCAUCAGUGAGAUACCACUCUUGUAAUGUUAGAUUUCUAACUUUGUAUCAUUAUCUGGUCAAAGAACAGUUUCAGGCGGGCAGUUCGACUGGGGCGGUCGCCUCCUAAACGGUAACGGAGGCGCACAAAGGUUUCCUCUGAACGGGUAGAAAUCGUAUCUAGAGUGUAAAGGCAUAAGGAAGCUUGACUGUGAGACCUACAAGUCGAGCAGGGACGAAAGUCGGUCUUAGUGAUCUGACGGUGCUGAGUGGAAAGGCCGUCACUCAACGGAUAAAAGUUACUCUAGGAUAACAGGCUGAUCUCCCCCAAGAGUUCACAUCGACGGGGAGGUUUGGCACCUCGAUGUCGGCUCAUCGCAUCCUGGGGCGGUAGUACGUCCCAAGGGUUGGGCUGUUCGCCCAUGAAAGCGGUACGCGAGCUGGGUUCGGAACGUCGUGAGACAGUUCGGUCCAUAUCCGGUGUAGGCGUUAGAAUAUUGAGAGGAGCCUUCUUUAGUACGAGAGGACCGAGAAGGACAUACCUCUGGUGUACCAGUUAUCGUGCCAACGGUAAACGCUGGGUAGCUAUGUGUGGAGUGGAUAACCGCUGAAAGCAUCUAAGUGGGAAGCCCACCUCAAGAUAAGUAUUCC